ACGUCAGAACGAGUUUGUUGGCUAUUUAUUAUUAAGCUAAAAUAGGUUCAACAGUCUGUCCCGUAAUAAUAGAUUCAGAAAACUAAUGAAUUGAGUUGGAUAAAUCUAAUAAGUUGAGUGGAGGCGCGGUUCAUGAGAGAUCUCACGGUAAGAGGCCCAAUAAUAAAUCUAACAUUCAAGUGGUUUAAGCCAGAUGGAAACUCGCGAGUGCUGUGGCUAAAUUCUUAAAUAUCAUGGAUACGUCCUUCGUACAUGAUUUUGAGAUAGUUGGUUAGCGCUUAUGAUACACAGAACUGGCG
rnacentral:lncRNA from 1 species